rnacentral:rRNA from 2 species
UGGGGGAUAACGUAGGGAAACUUACGCUAAUACCGCAUACGACCUACGGGUGAAAGCAGGGGANCUUCGGNCCUUGCGCGAUUGAAUGAGCCGAUGUCGGAUUAGCUAGUUGGCGGGGUAAAGGCCCACCAAGGCGACGAUCCGUAGCUGGUCUGAGAGGAUGAUCAGCCACACUGGAACUGAGACACGGUCCAGACUCCUACGGGAGGCAGCAGUGGGGAAUAUUGGACAAUGGGCGCAAGCCUGAUCCAGCCAUACCGCGUGGGUGAAGAAGGCCUUCGGGUUGUAAAGCCCUUUUGUUGGGAAAGAAAUCCAGCCGGCUAAUACCUGGUUGGGAUGACGGUACCCAAAAGAAUAAGCACCGGCUAACUUCGUGCCAGCAGCCGCGGUAAUACGAAGGGUGCAAGCGUUACUCGGAAUUACUGGGCGUAAAGCGUGCGUAGGUGGUUGUUUAAGUCUGUUGUGAAAGCCCUGGGCUCAACCUGGGAACUGCAGUGGAAACUGGACAACUAGAGUGUGGUAGAGGGUAGCGGAAUUCCCGGUGUAGCAGUGAAAUGCGUA